UUUAGCUGAGACCCGAAUCAGGUUGAACCAGGCUCUCUGUUCCUCCCACCUCACAAGACCCGUUCACCUCUGACCAAGUUCCUCUGUCUCUCAGGGGGCAAAGGCUAUGGGCCAGAGCGUGGAGAGGAAGAUUUUGCUGCCUUUCGAGCCUGGCUUCGGUGCUAUGCUGUGCCAGGCAUGAGCUCCCUGAGAGACCGGCAUGGCCGUACCAUUUGGUUCCAGGGUGAUCCUGGACCCUUGGCACCCAAAGGUAAGUAGCUCAUAAUGUAAGAGAUAAAGAGCUGAGAAAACCAUGGGCCUUGGAUACUCAUUCUCCCAUCCCUCUCCAACCGUGGGAUCACCCAGCAGUAAUAGUCUGAGGGGCUGAAGCCCUAGGGCUCGCUAGCUCCAGUAGAACAUUCUACAGGGGGCAGAUCCCGAAAAAAGAAGUCACAGGAAACACAGCUGGAGGCUGAGGACAGAAAAGAGGACCCUCCAAGCAAGUCCAUUUCCAGGACUCAGAGGGCCAGGAAGCACUGUCCUAAGAAUGUACCUCAACAGUCUGAAGGGGCCAGCCUCCCACAAAACCUGGAAACCC
rnacentral:lncRNA from 1 species